rnacentral:rRNA from 1 species
GAUGAACGCUGGCGGCGUGCCUAAUACAUGCAAGUCGAGCGAACGGACGAAAGCUUGCUUUUCUGAUGUUUGCGGCGGACGGGUGAGUAACACGUGGAUAACCUACCUAUAAGACUGGGAUAACUUCGGGAAACCGGAGCUAAUACCGGAUAAUAUUUUGAACCGCAUGGGUCAAAAGUGAAAGACGGUCUUGCUGUCACUUAUAGAUGGAUCCGCGCUGCAUUAGCUAGUUGGUAAGGUAACGGCUUACCAAGGCAACGAUGCAUAGCCGACCUGAGAGGGUGAUCGGCCACACUGGAACUGAGACACGGUCCAGACUCCUACGGGAGGCAGCAGUAGGGAAUCUUCCGCAAUGGGCGAAAGCCUGACGGAGCAACGCCGCGUGAGUGAUGAAGGUCUUCGGAUCGUAAAACUCUGUUAUUAGGGAAGAACAUAUGUGUAAGUAACUGUGCACAUCUUGACGGUACCUAAUCAGAAAGCCACGGCUAACUACGUG